UACGUAGGGCGCAAGCGUUGUCCGGAAUUAUUGGGCGUAAAGAGCUCGUAGGCGGCCUGUUGCGUCUGCUGUGAAAUCCCGGGGCUUAACCCCGGGCGUGCAGUGGAUACGGGCAGGCUGGAGGCAGGCAGGGGAGAACGGAAUUCCCGGUGUAGCGGUGAAAUGCGCAGAUAUCGGGAGGAACACCGGUGGCGAAGGCGGUUCUCUGGGCCUGUACUGACGCUGAGGAGCGAAAGCGUGGGGAGCAAACAGG
rnacentral:rRNA from 1 species